rnacentral:lncRNA from 1 species
AGCGUUGUUAUUGAUUAGUGUUACUGUUUAGGCUAAAAUUAACUUAAUAUAGUUAGUAGUUUUUUUUCCUUUUAGCCUCUGGUUGAGAGAUUAGCUUAGCAUAACUUAGCGUAGCAAAACUUAGCUUAGUAUAACUUUAGAUUAGCAUUAUUUAUUACCUGCACAGUUUCUUUUAAGGACACAGAGAGAGAGAUUGUUCCAGGUGAAGGAUGGGUCGCCCUCGGAAGACCAAGGAACCACCGGUCACCAGGAGGCCACCGCGCAGGAUCCUGCCAAAAAUAAAAGCUCACAUGCUUCACACUGGUAUACCGUGGGCAUGUGUGAGGGACACUAACUCCCCUCCAACUCUGCUGUGGAGCAUUCCCUGUAUGCAGCAGCUGCAGGCUACUCCACAGCCCCCCCAGCAGAAAGCCAGUCAGGAGGUUGUUUUUCCGGAAGACGUGCUGAGUUCUGUUCCUGGAGUCUGGGACCUGGCUGUGGAGAAGGGCAUCCUGCUUCCAUGGAGUAGGCCGCAGGUACAGGAUGUUCCUGCCACCCCUCUGCCCGGCGUGGUCCCUGUCACCUCCGUCACCAGCGCUCAUCAGCCCUCCACUAGCACAUCAUCCAUGGAGCUUGAGGAGCGCUGGAUUCUUCAGGAUCAGAUGGAGGAGGAAAUGAUGACCAGCGACCCAGCAGCAGACAGUCCACAGGGACCCCACCAGGAAGCCAGUCUGGAUGACUUUUUGGAGGAGCUGAGCGCCAUUCCUGUCAUCUGGGACAUGGAUUUCAAGAUGUGCCUCCUCCCUCCACCGUACUAGUACCACUAUUAGUAGCACAAGCAGCACCAAUAGUGAUCACUAGUAAAGGUAAGUAUGAAGGUAAGUAUGAAGGUAAGUAUUUAGUGACGGGCUGCACGGUGACAUUGUGGUUAGCACCUUGUCUCACAGCUGGAAGAUCUGAGUUUCGGUCCCUUCUGUGUGGAGAUUUGCAAAUUUGCAUGUAUCUCCCCGUGUCAGCGUGGGUUUUCUCCGGGUUCUCCGGUUUCCCCCACAAAACAACUAGGCCAAUUGGAGAUGAAUUGGACACAAAUUGGCACCAAUUUAACCUGUAGUUCCUUUAACAGUUUAAUAAUUUACAGUAGUAGCAAAAAAAAGCCCAAAAUAAAAAGGCUCCAGUGGUGGCA